UGUUAGUGUCCUACUCAUCUUGCUUUUCCUACAGCUAGUAAGUGGACAUCCAGGAGGUACAAGGAUAUAUCCCAGACCUGGCCAGUCAUGCUACCAUUUCCCAUAAUAAUCUCCUUAAGAAGUGAGCACCAGACCCAAGUCAUUCAGAUACUACCUGUAAGAUAUAGGCACUGAGGGAAAGAGUCUGGUUUUUCUUUUAGAUGAAGAGCUAUAAGAAUGGAAUCGAGACUAGGAGAGGAACAUCCAAAGGAGAGAAAAUGACUGCAGUGGGAGAGAACAAGAGCUACGAUCAAAAAGAGGAGAGACAAGCAGCACUGAGGAAGACAGAAGGGUAAGAAGAGAUGAUGUCAGAAGUGGGAUCCAAAGAAAAGCUUCCAGUGACCCCCAGGAGCACUGAGUGACAAUCUAAGCCCUCAAUAGAAUGACACCACUGUGUGGUCAAGA
rnacentral:lncRNA from 10 species